GCGGGAGUAGCUCAGUGGUAGAGCACCAGCUUCCCAAGCUGGGUGUCGCGGGUUCGAUACCCGUUUCCCGCUCCA
rnacentral:tRNA from 4 species